CUGUUUCCAAUCAAUGACAUUGUCACGUUCACAACAGACUCCGGCAAAUUGGUUAACUGCCAACGUUUCUAUUUCUUGCAGCGAAUGAAAAAAAAGCACUCCCCCCCCCCCCCUCCGGAUUACAUUGCAACUGCCCUGGAAGGCAGGGCCGGAGAGAAGGGUGGCUGGCAGCUGAGAAGGAGAGGCAGCAAGAGAACAGUAUAGGAAUCUGGCACUGGUGAGGUCACCCUGGUGCAGGCAAGGGGAGUUGUAUGUGGAACACAAGACAGCCCAGGAGUGGGUUGGGAGCAGGAGGCAGUGAGGAGACAGAACAAAGGAAGAGGACGACUACAUACAAGAAAAUGUGAGUGUUGAUUGUUAGUGUGGAGUAAGAGCCAUGAGGACAGCUGCGGAAGUGAGAGUGGCAUGGGUGACAGCAGAGACUGAAGUGGGAUCAGAGAAUGUGUAUUGGGGACAAUUACAAUCCAUGUAGUUCAGUGAAGAAGCUGGUAUUGGGGAGAAGGAGUUAUGAAGCAGCCAUUGCAAUCAGUCAAAUAGUGCUCAUUAGUAAGUUCCAAUACUGGAUGGCCAUCUUUGGCAUUCAGAUUCUUUAUUGCCAUUGACCACAUACAGUAGAAUAGACUUUUACAAUGAUAGUAAGAUACAAAUAUUGAUCACGUUACAUGUAAAAAUUAAAUACCUUAUAUACAGCUAUAAUCUUAAUUAUUAAUAUCAAUAUUGUCAAUAUCAUAGAACUCUUUUAUAUAACAACAUGGGUUUUUUGUUAGCCCGUCAUAUAAUUUUAUUUUGAACUUUUUAAAAGGCAAGGAUUGAGCGACAAAAGGAAAUUUGUUAAAAAUUUUGAGGGCAUUCGCUUUACGGGAGUUUCCUGUUAUUGCUAGCCUGUGCCUUGGAAUGUCAAUGUUUGCCUUAUUUCUAGUAUUGUGUUUGUGAAUUGUAUUCCUGAUGAUACAGUCUUUAAAUUUAUUCCUGACAAAGAUUGCAGCCUCAUAUGUAUACAGAUUCACCACUGUUAGUAUCCUAAGCCUGGUAAAAAGAGGGUGACAGUGUUCUACAAGACCAGCAUUACACAUUAUACAAACAGUUGUAUUUUUUGGCAUCAAUAUGUAUUCCUAAGAGCUUGACACUUUUAUUUUCUCUCGUCUUAGAUAAUCCUAACAUAAGCUUUUGGGUUUUGUCUGGAUUACACACAGAUUUAUUGCCUGCAAACGAAUUUAAUGCAGAGUCAAGAGUUUCUUGUGUAAUCUUAUCAAGGGUUGGGACAUCAUGGUGUGAAGUAAGCAGAGUUGUAUCAUCUGCAUAGCAGAUUACAGACUGUGAUACAGAAUGGGGCAGAUCAUUGAUAGCCACAAUGAAAAAGAAGGGGGCCAAGGACAGAUCCCUGUGGCACACCUGUACCAAUUUCUACUAAGGGGGUAAUGGCUUAUUUCUAAUUGAGACAACUGUCUUCUGUUAGUCAAAUAGGAAGAAAUUAUUGCUAAUGUAGAUUUUUAUACACCAUAAUACUCCAGUUUUGUUAAUAAUUUGUUCAAAGGAAUGCAAUAAAAAAAAGCUUUACUUAGAUCACAUAA